CCUACGGGAGGCAGCAGUAAGGAAUAUUGGACAAUGGGCGAAAGCCUGAUCCAGCCAUGCCGCGUGAAGGAUUAAGGCCCUCUGGGUUGUAAACUUCUUUUAUAGGGGACGAAAAAAGGGAAUUCUUUCCCUCCUGACGGUACCCUAUGAAUAAGCACCGGCUAACUCCGUGCCAGCAGCCGCGGUAAUACGGAGGGUGCAAGCGUUAUCCGGAUUCACUGGGUUUAAAGGGUGCGUAGGCGGGUAGGUAAGUCAGUGGUGAAAUCUCGAAGCUUAACUUCGAAACUGCCAUUGAUACUAUUUAUCUUGAAUAUUGUGGAGGUUUGCGGAAUAUGUCAUGUAGCGGUGAAAUGCUUAGAUAUGACAUAGAACACCUAUUGCGAAGGCAGCAGGCUACGCAUAUAUUGACGCUGAGGCACGAAAGCGUGGGGAUCAAACAGGAUUAGAUACCCUGGUAGUCCACGCCCUAAACGAUGAUUACUCGACAUUUGUGAUACACUAUAAGUGUNUGAGNGAAGACAUAAGUAAAUACCACCUGGAAGGAACGACCGAACGAAGGUUAGUUAAAGUUAAAAGUAAAGUUAGUUACGGCGUUGAGACGUGCCGACGGACGACGACGAGGGGAGGUUAGGAG
rnacentral:rRNA from 1 species